rnacentral:lncRNA from 1 species
UCCGGGGCGGAGCUAUCUGAACCUCUCCCUUCCGCAGUGGAAAUGUGGACCUCCUGCACUGUUAAGGUCCAUGAUUGCUUGGCCUCUACUUCCGUUAGUUUGAAACGGUGUCUGAGAUUGGGGGUGGCCAUGGCAAAAAGCAAGUUUGAGUACGUACGGGACUUCGAGGCUGACGACACUUGCCUCCCUCAGUGCUGGGUGGUAGUGCGGCUGGACGGCAGGAAUUUCCAUCGGUGAGCGAGCCCGGCUGAAGGCCGCGUGGUGUGCCGGCGUUUCCGGGAAAUCCGACAUACCUGGCUCAUGGUUACCACGGUAACGCGGAAGCCAAUGAGCGCCCGGCAUUGAGCGUCUCCCUCCGUGCGGGCCGCCAACCGGCUUGUGUGUGAGCUGGUCUGGGUAGUUAAAAAGAACAAGGUGGUUGCCUGGUGAGGGGCUGGCCUGGAACGCCCUUGUUAAGUGAGCAGAAACCAGUUAGCAAAGUCCUGGCGGAGAAAAACUAUCACUUCCCGGCACAAUAUUUAACUUUUAACGGUAUUUCCCAUCUAUUCUGUUAGAUAUUUGAGAGCUGACUGUUCAGAGGCCGGAGUUGGCCUUCUUUCUUAUGGGCAACAGUUUACUGUAUAACCGUGUUUCAUUAUCAGUAACAGGCCACGUGGAAUGAAUUCGAUAAACAAAGAAAAAAAAAGGGAGAAAGAAAUUAACACAGAUGGGAGUUUAAUUUUUAAGAAGUGCUUUGUUAGUGAUGCUUAUUGUGUGUGUGUGUCUGUGGUAUUGGGAUUGAACCCAGGGGUGCUCUAUCACUGAGCUACAUCCCCAGACCUCUUAUUUUUUAUUUUGAGACAGGGUCUUACUAAGUUGCCAAGGCUGCCUUGACACUUGCAAUCUUCCUGCCUGUCACUGGAGUUGUUGGGAUUACAGGCGUGUGCCACCAUCCCCAGCAAUAAUGAUCAUUAUAAUUAACAUUUAUUGAGUACUUAAUAGGAACCAGGCAUAUUACAUUUUUAUUUUUCCUUUAUCUUCAGGACAACUCGUUAAUAAUCAACAGGUUAAUGUCUACCUUCAUUUCAAAGAAAAGAAAAUAGAGGUGUAGUGGCAAUUAUGUCCCUUUUUUCUCUGUUGUUCAAGAUUGUAGCUAGUAGCCCUGUUACAGUAUUUUCCUCUUGGAACUACCUUCAUAGUCUGUGUUGUUCAUGAAAAAACUCUUCUUUCCAUGCUUUUCCCCCUCCUCUUUCCCCUGUGAAGGUUUGCUGAGAAGCACAACUUUGCAAAACCUAAUGACAGCCGUGCUCUCCACCUAAUGAACAAAUGUGCCCAGACUGUAAUGGAAGAACUGGAGGACAUUGUGAUUGCAUAUGGACAAAGUGAUGAAUACAGCUUUGUGUUCAGGAGGAAAAGCAAUUGGUUUAAAAGAAGAGCCAGGUAAUUUAUGGCCUGCCUCUUUUCUUCAGAAUAUUUCCUAUCAGCAUCUAUUUUUCUGUUUAUUUUGACUUACAGACUACAAAGGAUGACUGACAUGAUUAGUAACAGAGACCAUAAAAUUAUAAUAUUAGUGAUUCAUAGGUUGGCUUUAGCUGGUCAGUAUCUAUAUGCAUUGCAGUAAUACUUAAAAUUUUUAUUAAGGAAGAUCUGAGUAUAAAAUAGACAAAUUUGGUUUUUGACAGUAUUUUGAAACUGUAAAGGAAACAAAUCAUAAUGAAUUAGUAUGUUUUUAAAGCAGUGUUUUCCAUCUUCUGAAGACUAAAGAUAAUACAAAAGAAAAACAUUGAACCAUAAAUUUUAAUCAUAUUUAAAUUGGCAUUAGUAAAUAAUAGGACUGAAAAUAAAUAAGCUACACUUAAAACAUAUAUAUAAAAUAUAUUAAAAUAUGUAACUGAAAUUGGCCAAAAUGUAUUUUAAUUCUUGGCUUGCUGGAAGGUUUGUGUAGUCUCUCUGUAGCACCUGCAGGCCCUAU